UACAGAUUGUCAACCAUCUUAUGCUUGUACUCAUCAUCGACUGCUAUAUGUUAUAAGGCACGAUAACAAAUUGUCCUUCAUCACCUCUUGCAAAUCUCACAACCUCCAAUUCUUGAUGCACUAAAUCGACUUUCACCACGACCAUUUCUGUUCCCUCGCCACCCCUGCUCGGAUGAAGAGGUGACUGAAAAGAAAAUGAUAUAAGUACAUCAAACAAUCAGAUCAGGGCUGUUGACAAUCCAGAAAUGCCAUGAGUCAUACUGGUGUACAUGAAUAACCAAAUGCCAUAUACAAUUGUCCUGAAGGGGGUAAAUAGAAAGUUUAACCAAAGUAAUCUUACAACCUCAUAUUAGAGGUUAGAUAUCUUUCACGGCAAUUACGGAAAUGAUGAACACUCUUACAGUAAAGGGAGUCAGUGGUGACAACGGGAGGCACACGCGUAGUCGGCGACAACUGCGCGGAUGAGAGGGGAGGACAGGGGGACUUAGUUUGUGCUCCUGUAGCUACACGAUGGAAGAAGUAAAAAAAUCAGUGUAUGCUCAGUCCAUGCAACAUUAAAAGUGCACCCAAAAAAGAAAAUCAAAAACUCAGUUUAUUCUCAUGGUUCUUUACUCAACACUUGCUUGGCCAUGUUGCUCUUUCCCCGCCUAUUCGCUGCACGUCACAAAAACACAUGCCAAAAGAAAUCUGGAAUACAAUGCCUAAAAAUUUGGAAUAUAAUGCCACAAAAACUUGCAAAAUUUCUUUUAAAUAUGAAUCUCUACUCUCCCCUGUUCACGAAAAUAUGUUGUGCUCUAGCUAGUCUAUACAGAUCAUACAGGUUCUAUUGAUUAGGGGGUCACUAAUAAGUGGAGAAAUAUGUAUAGAGAGAUAUGGGCGAGAAAGGCGCAGUACCAUUGCCUAUGUAACGUAUUAGUCUAACAUUCAUCAGUAUUAUAUACCGUGAAAUGUACAAGUCCACAUUGCAGACCACCCAAACAUGUCACAAUCCCUAUAUUAAGCUGAUAAAGCAAAUGAACAACCAGUCAGAACAUACUUAAAGUCAGGUCGAUUUACAAAUUGCAGGCAAUGAUCAAGAGUAGGUGAAUUACUAACCAAAGGAAGCCUCCAGAAUCAAAUCGAGCAUGACACCAUCAUGGACAUCAGGUUGAAGCGAUCUAUUUUCUAGAUAAUAUACCUUGCAUUUCUGUAGUAAUAAAGCAUGAACAAUGAUUGGAGAUUAGAAGAAAAAAUGAUAGAAAGAAAUAGUUGUGAGAGAUCUUGCAUUCACAUUUCAUGUAGCACAAUUAGAGAGAGAAAAGACAGGCAAAUAUAAAAAAUAAGGCCAAGAAUUGUUUUCUUAAAGCCUUAAAAUGAACUGGUAAAGAAAAACAAACCCCAUGGAAGAAAAGAACAAAAUAUGUGCUUCAGGUAGAAGCAUCAGUCACCAGGCUCACAUCCAAGGUUUUUGAGUCGCCGACUAAUCGCCAAGUCGUUGGAGCGAGGUUGGCUUGCACAGGCGACUUGGCUUGAGGAGCGAGUCGCGCGGCUGGUAGGCUAGUCGACGAUUAGUCGACGACUAGUCGGGCGACUAGGACCUCAGAGCAGGGCGGCUUGCUUCAGCAAGGCCAAGGGAGGGAAGACUGGGAAGGUGAGGAGGCCAGAGUUUGAGGGAGGGGAGGAGGAGACGAAGCUGGAGAGUGCGCCGCCUGUACGAGAAGCACGGAAGAGACGAAGGAGAAAGGCACAUGGGAGAGCAGAUGCACGGUCCAGAUUAGAGCAUAUGGACGGUUGGGAUUUUAUUUGGAAGCUAGGGUUACAUAAUGGGCCUAUUGGGCCAGCUCUCUAGCACGAAACAGAGGAGCAAGACGCGUGCUCCCAUCCCACAUCAGAAUCGCCGCCUCCAUUGCUCCUACGAGCUGCUGCUGCCUUCUCCGAGCUGAAGUAUCCUCCAAGCAGCUGCCUUCCCCCUCCUCCGCGUGCAACAGCACCUCUUCCCCCUCCUCCUCCUCCUCUUCCCCCUCCUCCUCCUCUUAACACCUGGGGCGACUUGGGGGCGAUUAAUCACGACGAGUCACAGACUAAUCGCAGCGAGCCACUAGUUGGAGGCAUGGCGACUCGACUUGGCUAGGCGACUCAAAAACCUUGCUCACAUCAUUGUUCUUUGCCAUGGUGCAGGCUUUGGUGCUGAAUGUAGAAUCUAGGCUUCCUCCUGACUACCCUUCUAAUGGUAUCCUCUCCUGCCUCAAUCUACGUUGUGUGGAUACUUCAGAAAGCGCACGUAUCCAGCCGGAUACUGCCCCGAUACGUAUCCCGUAAAUAUCUUUCGAUUUUUUGAUUUUAGAAAAAGAAAAUAAUGUUCGAUACUCCUGGGAUACUGCUGCGAUACGUUUUGGAUACCUCAAACCCCUCGUUCAACCUGAAAUCCCCUCAAUAGAAAAGGCGCACGUUUGAAGAUUCCCAACAUGGGCGUGAGUUCAUGUCAAAACAUGACUAUCAAUGUUCUUGUUCACCGGCCAUGUUGCUCUAAUUUCCCCUACGCCUAUUCACUGCACGUCACAACAACACAUGCCAAAAGAAAAUCUGGAAUAUAAUGACUAAAAAUUUGGAAUAUAAUGCCACAAAAACUUGCAAAAUUUCUUUUAAAUAUGCAUCUCUACUCUCUCCUGUUCACAAAAAUAUGUUGUACUCUAGCUAGCAUAUACAGAUCAUACAUGUUCUAUUGAUUGGGGGGUCACCAAUCAGUGGAGAAAUCUGUAUAGAGAUAUAUGGGUGAGAAAGGCGCAGUACCAUUGCCUAUGUAACAUAUUAGUGUAACAAUCAUCAGUAUUAUAUACCUUGAAAUGUACAAGUCCACAUUGCAGACCACCCAAACAUGUCACAAUCCCUAUAUUGAGCUGAUAAAGCAAAAGAACCAGUCAGAACAUAUUAAAGUCAGGUUGAUUUACAAAUUGCAGGCAAUGAUUAAGAGUAGGUGAAUUACUAACCAAAGGAAGCCUCCAGAAUCAAAUCGAGCUGACACCAUCAUGGAUCAUUAGGUUGAAGCGAUAUAUUUCCUAGAUAAUAUACCUUGCAUUCCUGUAGUAAUAAAGCAUGCACAAUGAUUGGAGAUUAGAAUAAAAAAGGAUAGAAAGAAAUAGUUGUGAGAGAUCUUACAUUCACAUUUCAUGUAGCACACUAGAGAGAGGAAAAGACCGGCAAAUAUAAAAAAUAAGGACAAGAAUUGUUUUCUUAAAGGCCUAACUAAAAUGAACUGGUAAAGAACAACAAACCCCAUGGAAGAAAAGAACAAAAUAUGUUCUUCAGGUAGAAACAUCAGUCACCAGACUCACAUCAUUGUUCUCUGCUAUGGUGCAGGCUUUGGUGCUGAAUGUAGACUCUAGAGCUUCCUCCUGACUACCCUUCUCAUGGUAUCCUCUCAUGCCUCAAGCCCCCAAUCGACUUCUCCAAUCUCCAACUUGCCCAUGUGUUGCAGCAUGUCCCAAAAAGAGACAAACAUGAGGUACUGCGUCUUGCCCGGGACAUCAACCUAUGUACAAAAAGAUUUCUUAGUAUUAGUUCAUACUCCGUACUUCAUAGCUGGAAGAAAGUAAUAUUAAAGGAAUGGUUCAAUCACAGUAUAACCUAGAAGUGUAAAAAUUAAAGAGAAACCUUAACCUUUAGAAGACAACUUUCCCAACUUUGUGCCAUCCGCUUCUAGACUUCACAUGCGCACCACGAUUGUGCUACUUAUACAUGCCUAUAUUAGAACAGAUUCGGCAGAAAGCAGGUCAAUUGGCAUGAAGAUAAAUAUAUAAGGGUGUAUGUAAGAUCUCACAUCCGUAAGUACUCAACCGUUUUUUGUGCGUCCACACUCUGCAAGCAUUACCAAAGAUGAGUGGAUCUAGUUGAGAGUUUAAAAGCAAGGUGCAUAUAUUCAGAUUUUUUUAAAUGUUUUGGUAUGUUUUAUUGCGUGGGUGCACCAAGGUGGGGUUCAGCCACUACUUUCCCUAUAUUCAAAUGUAAGUCAUAUUGGCGCACAUGCAGCUCUACAUCUACACUGAAGUCUGAAUUUGAAAAAAGUUGAAAUAGAUAGUAGUGUCUACACUCUUCAUGUAGAUCACAAUAUCACAUUAUAAUCCUCUACAAUGGUUACAUGUAAAGCAAAUUUGGAGGCAUAUACAACUAAAAAGUAAAUCAUUGUAUCAUGGAAAUGACAUACUAAUAUGGACCAUGGAAUAAAAUACUAUUGGAAGGCAUGUCUGCAAGGAUUGUUUAGAAACUUGAUCACUGUAUCAUGAAAAUGAUAUUGCAAGAGCUGACCUUUCCCUUGUGCACAUUCCCAUGCUUUGACUAAAAUAGAGCAUUUGCAGUUCCUGCUUGGAUGCUCACUUUCUUUCUGUUUACUCACUUCAUAUGCUAUCCCCCGAUCAAAUCAACAGCUAGCCAACCAGCUCUACUUUUGCAGUUUGCAUUGAACACUCCAAAGGGAAAGUUAGAGGCCACCCAUGGCUUCAAGGAUGAGGUAGUAACAGCAAGGUCGAUGAGUAGCGAGAGCGCACCAGACACGGCCGCCCCAGCCCCUCCUCGACGGCACCACGGAGAUUGAGCCGCUACCGCACAGGGAGAGCCUAAGGAGCCGGUCAAGGAGACAGUACUGGCACACGUCGUUGUAGACACAAGGAGAUAGUACGGUCACACUUCAUCCUCCAUUAACUCUAACAUGAGCAUGUAGGCGCCUGCUACAGAAAACGGGCGUGUAAAAAUCCGCACGAGGAUGCAAAGAAAAUGGACAGUAAGGGGCCUUCUUUGUUAAAAAUGGUGCAUCUAGUUGGUUAACAAACUGCAGCUCAAAGAAAAAAAAUCAAUUACUUGGUAAAAAUGUCCCGAUAAUUCCUGGCCAGAAGCUAUGUUGCAACAAAGAUUAAUCUUAAAUUACCAAUCACCUCCAAGCAUGUUCUUACGUCCAGCCAAAGCUAUGACACCUUCAUCAGGAAAUAAUAUAUUUCAAACAUGAGUACAUGACUCACGUAGCUAGUUCCAUAUACAUACCCUGGGUGUAUACACUACUGCAAUUUCAGGCGACAGUGUGAUGCUAUCCAUUAGUGAAGCCCCAUGAAUCCUCCAUUUAUUUAUUCAAUCAAGGCAUUUAUAUCUUCCCCCAUUCUCCUAUCAUCUAUAUUCUCACCUGCAAAGACAUCAGACAAUCAAUAAUGUUGAAGAGCCAUCGUUAUUUUUAACUACUUAAGGGCAGCCAACCAUAGGAACGUAGCAGGUACUGAACCAAAUAAUAACAAAGAGAUACAAAGGAUUUUGAAUUUUUAAACCACAGUUAGUCUAUGAAGAGCAUCUAUAUAGCAAACAAAUAUGAACUUUCACAACAAUAAGGAAUGACAAGUAAUUACUUUGCUCCCUUAAUAGUUGAUACUGGUAUGCACCCAUAUGAUCUUUCUGAAAUUAGUACCUUCAAUGGACCAAUAUUAGUAUUAUCAGUGGGCCAAUAUCUACUCCACAUGAAAAACAAAUCGUGGUGUAAAAAGAGAUAUACAGCUGGUCCAACUUAUUCAAGAGAUUAACAAAGAAAGAAAAUCUCCGCAAUUAGAGUAUAUAGCUUCCGUCUGAAGAUAUGGACAUGCUUUGAUAUUUUUCAAAUAAGUAAGCAAUAUCAAACUUGAGGUUUCUUCAUGGAGCUGAAAUCACUCACAAACUCAGUUAAGGAGGGAGAUAUCAAAACAGAAAUGCUAAUUACUCUGCCAUAUGGAAAUAGAAAUACAUCAGAGAGCAGUCACUGGAAAAUCAAGGAUCCUGAUUUAUAUGCACGAACACUGAUGGCCUGACUUACAAGCAUGAACAAAUAAGGUUGGCCUCUGGAGGCUAGGUGAUUUAUAUGCACGUUUGGCUGCCGGUGAGCUACGACUGGUGCGUGCAGUACGCGCUGCUUGCCGGUGGCAGCGACAGAGAAGAGGCCAUUCGGAUUAGAUCAGAGGGUUAGGGUUUCCACGGGGAGGAAGCAAAGGCCACACCGAGGAAAAGUUCGUGCGUGAUUGAUUGCUGCGGUUAGGAUUUGGGACCAUGCUGAUAGUGUCGUUCUAGGGCUCAGAGUAGGGACGGAGGAGACAGCGAGGAAUCACAACAACGAGGAGGCGGGAGGAAGGGGGGCGUGCGCCAUGGGAGACGGAGGGGACCGCUGGUGAGAAAGAGGGAGGGAGGAGGCGCCGUGGGGGAGGAGAACAAGGGGGCGCGGGAGCGGAGGCACGGGCAAAAAUUGGGGUGUAGCGAGAGCACGGAGAAGGAAGAAGCUUACCGUCGCCGUCGGGUUCCUUCGUCGCUGCGCGCUCGUCGACCUGCUGGAAGAGAGCUCUAGCAUGCUGCGGCUGCGGCGGCUGCAGCGCAAGGAACCCUAGAGCGCGGGAGGCAGGAAAGGUCGACGAACACCAUGUUGUUGCGGCAGCGGCGUGAGGAACCCUAGCGCGUGCUAGGGGAUCUGGGACACGAGCGACUCGUGCGAUGUCUGAACCGUUUUUCUUCCGAACCCCGGAGGAAAACAGCGUGGAGUGGUCGUGGUGGGAGGGGGACAAAAAAAAACAGCGAA
rnacentral:lncRNA from 1 species